CACGGAGGAAUGCAUCCAGCUCUGAGACGAGAUCGAGGAGCUCAUCCGGCGAGGUCGACUCGACAAGUUCAUUCGACGUCGGCCUGAGGGUAGAGAAGAUCGACCAAGGGCCCUGCCGCAACCUGAACCGCCAAGGAGGGAGGAGCAGCCUGGAGAUCGGCCUCCAAUCGGGACCAUCGACUCCAUCACCGGAGGAUCUCAAGGAGGAGCAGACCUUCCACGACCAUGAAACUCGAAAAACCUGUAAAUGUACUACUCACGACUUUACUUUGAAUCAAAAUUCCUUUCG
rnacentral:lncRNA from 1 species